rnacentral:rRNA from 1 species
ACAGAGGGUGCGAGCGUUAAUCGGAAUUACUGGGCGUAAAGCGCGCGUAGACGGUUUUGUAAGUCAGAUGUGAAAUCCCUGGGCUCAACCUGGGAACUGCAUUUGAAACUGCAUGGCUAGAGUAUGGAAGAGGGAAGUGGAAUUUCCGGUGUAGCGGUGAAAUGCGUAGAUAUCGGAAGGAACACCAGUGGCGAAAGCGACUUCCUGGUCCAAUACUGACGUUCAUGUGCGAAAGCGUGGGGAGCAAACAGGAUUAGAUACCCUGGUAGUCCACGCCAUAAACGAUGACAACUAGAUGUUGGGAGGGUCUGCCUCUCGGUGUCGCAGCUAACGCGUUAAGUUGUCCGCCUGGGGAGUACGGCCGCAAG